CUGGACCUCCGCUUUGCGUUUCUUCCCUCGACGACCUGCACACGUGAUAUUGUUGCAGAUCUGGCAGGUCACCAGAGCGUCUUCCAUGGAAAGUCAUCCCAGCUGGUGUUCCUGGUUUCCGGACUCUGACUCGAAGGAGGGAGGGAACUUUCAUCACAGAGACGAGAAAAAUAAAGGAGAGAAAAGAGGAAGAAGGAAAGGUUUGUGUGUGUGUAUGCUGGAUUUACCUGCAGGUAGAGGAACUGCAGGCUGUACAGUUUGUGGAAGAGGUCAUGGGGGAGAGUGGCCAGCUUGCAG